UCGCAUCCGACUAAAGACCAACUGCAGACGAGAAUUAGAGAGAGAACAUAGAAAGAGACCUGAGGGUGAAAGCGUUUUUAAGAGUCGACGAUAAAAAAGAGCUUAAAAAACCCACCAAGAAUUCCAGAGAAAGAAUUCAAGGAGCUAGAGAGAAUCUCACUUUAGACCCCUAAGGAACUCGAACUGAAGAA
rnacentral:sRNA from 10 species